AUAAUCCAUUGUAUAAUCAAACGUCAUAACCAAACCCUACACAACACAAACUUUUCCUCUUCUUCUGGUAGACGCCAAAUCCUCCUGCCAUUGAAUCUUUCUGUUUGUUCAAUCCUGCCAGUCCGUGGUGCUGAAGGGUUGUGUUCGUGAGUUGGCGAGUUGAAUCUGACACGAACUUGAAAAUCGUGUCCGACACGUGUGUUGGGUUUUUGGGCCAAUGAGGAAGCCCAUCAAUUUUUCUUUGGCCCAUUUGGUUUUCUUUGAAGAUUAAUAAAAAGGAGAAGCAGGGUUUAAUCAGCCAACACCCUAAAAAACAUUCACAAAAAGCUCACACAAAAGAAGAAGAAAUUUUCGCUCAUUUCCGUCACUUCAAAACCCAGGUGCAGAGGUCGUUCAUUUCCCGGAGAUUGAACCGUUGGAUCGAUCUGAUUUUUGGACACAGUCAUUCUGACAUCAGGGCGACCUUAUCCAACGGUGGGUUUGUCCAAAUCAGCUCUGGAAGUCCGUCUGCACACCCUUCUGUUCCAGCUGCAGAAUUCUUGGUGAUUUCCUUCUUUUGUCAUUGUAUUUGAUUCCAUAUGCUUGAUGUUGUUGAUUCCAAGUGUAUGAUGAUUAUUGUAUGCCUCUAGUAGACCUAGGGAAGACUUUGUAUUGCUCUAAUUUGGUGAUAGUGGAUUUGAAGCGGCUCUAGUAGUCCCGUGGUUUUUA